GAUGAACGCUAGCGGCAGGCUUAAUACAUGCAAGUCGAGGGGCAGCACAGGUAGCAAUACUGGGUGGCGACCGGCAAACGGGUGCGGAACACGUACACAACCUUCCUUCAAGCGGGGAAUAGCCCAGGGAAACUUGGAUUAAUACCCCAUAACACAGGGGGCCCGCAUGGGCAUAUUGUUAAAGAUUUAUCACUUGAAGAUGGGUGUGCGUAUGAUUAGGUAGUUGGCGGGGUAACGGCCCACCAAGCCGACGAUCAUUAACUGGUGUGAGAGCACGACCAGUCACACGGGCACUGAGACACGGGCCCGACUCCUACGGGAGGCAG
rnacentral:rRNA from 1 species